AUUGAACGCUGGCGGCAGGCCUAACACAUGCAAGUCGAACGGUAACAGAAAGCAGCUUGCUGCUUUGCUGACGAGUGGCGGACGGGUGAGUAAUGUCUGGGAAACUGCCCGAUGGAGGGGGAUAACUACUGGAAACGGUAGCUAAUACCGCAUAACGUCGCAAGACCAAAGAGGGGGACCUUCGGGCCUCUUGCCAUCGGAUGUGCCCAGAUGGGAUUAGCUGGUUGGUGAGGUAACGGCUCACCAAGGCGACGAUCCCUAGCUGGUCUGAGAGGAUGACCAGCCACACUGGAACUGAGACACGGUCCAGACUCCUACGGGAGGCAGCAGUGGGGAAUAUUGCACAAUGGGCGCAAGCCUGAUGCAGCCAUGCCGCGUGUAUGAAGAAGGCCUUCGGGUUGUAAAGUACUUUCAGCGGGGAGGAAGGUGUUGUGGUUAAUAACCACAGCAAUUGACGUUACCCGCAGAAGAAGCACCGGCUAACUCCGUGCCAGCCGCCGCCGUAAAAC
rnacentral:rRNA from 1 species